CGAGAAUGACAGCGACAGAAGGGAAACGACCUUUUUAAGUCUCAAAUAUAGGACCCAGAUCGGCCAUUAGCCCGACGCGGCGAUGGACUAGCUUAACGGUGCCAUAUAUCAUAGACCCGAGUGUUGCUACUGAGGGAACAAACAGAAUAAAUGAAGCCAUACAAGAUUAUAAUACAAAGACUUGUAUAAGAUGGAUACCUAGAACAACGGAGACAGAUUAUGUAAAAUUUUCAGCCGCGCAACCACCAAUGACAAUGGG